rnacentral:rRNA from 1 species
CACUUUUGUCUCUCUUUCCUUUGAAGGGUUCUGUCGGCAGUAGAGGAGGGUAGAGUUUGGCUCGUCAGGUGCGGCGGCAGAGGAGGGUAAGGGAGAGAGCGUGCGGCGGCAGAGGUGGGUAGGGUUUAAGAGGCUUAAACAGCGCGAUCGAUGAUCUCCUUCCCGAACCUGCGGCAGCAGCAGGAGCGGGUAGCCGCGCAGUAGGCUUUCUUGGGGCAGCCGAGGCAGCUAGACGAUCUGGACAGGUUCCUCUCCCUCUCGUCGUCAGCGCAAACCUGCGCUCCUCCCCUUCGUCGGUUGGCGCGGGCCGGCCGCUCGUGGCGCGGGGCAGCAGCAAGUCCUCGUCCUGUUUGUCGACCACUGCCUCGAGUGUAGUUGCGGGCGGCUGGUGGAGCCAUCAACUAAGUCCACAGCCGCUGCUCGUUCGUGAGGCGAAUCGGAGCGGCAGGCGCGGGUGGCUGUCAGGGGACCAACAACGUCUACUCUGUUGGUUUAUCUACAACAGUAUCGAUCCUCUCCUCCUCCACAGACGCAACGACGUCGUAAUCCUUCUCAUAGUACCGAAGCUUCCAGUGUGGGACUGCCACGGACGGGACGGUGUGCUAGGUGCGUACGACCAUGUUUACCAAGGGAGGACACCUACUGUUCCUACUUCUAGCGACAGCAGUGCCGGUUCCCGGAACGGAAAGAGGUGCUGCGGUUGGACCGCCACUAGAUGUUCCGGAGGUUGUAGAACGAGAUGAGCCCAGUCAAACUCGGAGGAACUCGAGCUGCACUAGCCCCCGGUCACGAGAUGUGCGAACGGCUGCACCACCGGCAGCUCCACCACCAGCAGUACCAGCUGAACUGCCGGUCCUAUCGUCCUCCUUGUCUACACUUUUUCGCUACCAGCAGCUCCAGCCGAAAUGGACGAUUCACGUAGAUGAAAAGCGGUCACGAUUGGUAACAAAACUUCGUGGAAAUAAGAAACAUUAGUAAGUAAAUCCGACGUUCUGACGACGAAGAGACAAGUAUGAGGAAGGAAAAGAAAAAUCAGACGUAUAUUCUAAACCAGUUUCAGUUUGAAACAUUUGAAACUGAUCGAAACAUCCUUUUCUAUAGUUGUAAGUGUGAUACUUUAGUUAUAAUAAUCUACGUAUAGGUAUACAUGGUACG